GACGAACGCUGGCGGCGUGCUUAACACAUGCAAGUCGAACGGAAAGGCCCUGCUUUUGUGGGGUGCUCGAGUGGCGAACGGGUGAGUAACACGUGAGUAACCUGCCCUUGACUUUGGGAUAACUUCAGGAAACUGGGGCUAAUACCGGAUAGGAGCUCCUGCUGCAUGGUGGGGGUUGGAAAGUUUCGGCGGUUGGGGAUGGACUCGCGGCUUAUCAGCUUGUUGGUGGGGUAGUGGCUUACCAAGGCUUUGACGGGUAGCCGGCCUGAGAGGGUGACCGGCCCACUUGGGACUGGGGUUACGCCCCGGACCCUUACGGGAGGAAGAGGUGGGAAUAUUGCACAAUGGGCGGAAGCCUGAUGCAGCAACGCCGCGUGCGGGAUGACGGCCUUCGGGUUGUAAACCGCUUUCGCCUGUGACGAAGCGUGAGUGACGGUAAUGGGUAAAGAAGCACCGGCUAACUACGUG
rnacentral:rRNA from 1 species